rnacentral:rRNA from 1 species
GGAUUUGCACAAUGGGCGAAGCCUGUGCAGCAACGCCGCGUGCGCGAAGAAGGUCUUCGGAUCGUAAAGCGCUUUUCUGGGAGAUGAGAAAGGACAGUAUCCCAGGAAUAAGUCUCGGCUAACUACGUGCCAGCAGCCGCGGUAAAACGUAGGAGGCGAGCGUUAUCCGGAUUCACUGGGCGUAAAGCGCGUGCAGGCGGUUUGGUAAGUUGGGCGUGAAAUCUCCCGGCUCAACUGGGAGAGGUCGUCCAAAACUACCAGACUAGAGAGCGGUAGAGGAAAAUGGAAUUCCCGGUGUAGUGGUGAAAUGCGUAGAUAUCGGGAGGAACACCAGUGGCGAAGGCGAUUUUCUGGACCGUUUCUGACGCUCAGACGCGAAAGCUAGGGUAGCAAACGGGAUUAGAGACCCCGGUAGUCCUAGCUGUAAACGAUGUGAACUUGGCGUUGGUGGCUUAAACACCAUCAGUGCCGCAGCUAACGCGAUAAGUUCACCGCCUGGGGACUACGGCCGCAAGGUUAAAACUCAAAGGAAUUGACGGA